ensembl:lncRNA
GAAUAGAGCAUAAAUGCAGUACGUAAAAGAAUACAGUUCGGUUCCUCUCCUUGCCUAGGGGGAAUUAAAAUUCAGAUGUCUCCCUAGAAAUACAGUUACAGCAAUAACUGCCUAUUCCUUUUAUUGUUUUGCCUCGGUACAGGAAAUAAAGAUUUCUUGGGCCACGAGGAGGGGAAAAGAGUAAGUAUAAUUUUUGCAGUGUUCUUUCUCCUAGGGCAAACUUAACUAGAGUGCUGUGCUUUGGUGAGAUCUCUGCAGAGAUUCGGAUAUGAUGGGUGGGAUGUGCCAGAGAACAACAUCAGUCUGUUACCCUCUGAUGAAAGUGCUCUCCUGGCUCCUGGGAAUCUUCAGAGAGCAACAGAACUUGGUUCUGUUGCACAAAUGCUCUGACCAUUGAGUACUUGAAUAACCAUUGCAUUACAAAAUAAAUGGGUGUAUCUGGUGUGACUGAUGGAUUUGAGUGCCUUGACUUGAAGGCGUAGAGCACAAGACUGCAUUGCCCUCAUUACUCUGAUAAAAGCUGAGGUGGCAGAAAGCGUGGGGUAGAGUCUUUCAUCCUAACAUAAAAAGUCCAUCUUUCACUGAGAAUGCCCACUAUUGUCUUCAAGACUGAAGUUCAACUUCUGCAAGACUGCCUUCCUCAGCUGGAAUUUCCUGUGGGGAGUUUACUGAGAAGUGAAGAGCUCAUUCUCUGCAAGUGGAGUCCCACUGUGCAUCCUGGAAGAACUAUGACCAGGAGCUCCUGUGAUGUGACUGCCUUCAUUUGUCACGGUGGGAGAUUGGUAACCAACAGUGGAAAAGUAUUCUGUCAAAGGAGUACCUUUAUGGAGAGGAAUAUGAGCCUGGGGAAGGUACAGUGUCACCACUUCCAAGACAGAACUCUGCAUGCUUGCUUUCCUUUAUUUUUCCUCUGUAAGAAUGACACUUUAUUUAUUCCUUGUGCUGUAUAUUUAUAAUGAGGUCCCGUGGCUUACCACAGUCAUCCUUUCUCUCGGCUAUAAGGAAUUAGUUCUGCUGUUGUGUAACUGUUAGGCCAAACAUCUCUGUAAAUUAGUACUCUGAAGAUGAUGGCAGUUGAAUUUGCUUACAAGUCUGAAAACAAUGUAUUUUUCUCAGUGUAUUUCUAAAUAUGGGAUUUGUCAGGCACUGAGAUCUGAAAAUAUACUCUAUCUAUAGUGCUUUAUACAAUGAUUCUGUUACACUACUGUUACCAGCAUGUUAAAAGGAGCUGCCUGAUUUGAAGCACAGAUGUUUUGAUUCAGUGUAUUUAUGUCUACAAAGUGUCCUGGGAGUUCUGUGUUUACACCAUGUUCAAUUGGUUUGCCUAAUACUCUGAAAAUAAAUUAGUGAAUGCAAAUCUGAAUCUAUCCUACCAGAAAUAAAAGUGAAUAAAUUGUUAGUCUGUUUAAUUUUUAGUCUUUAGUGUCUGGGCAGUACUACCUGCAGAUUUUUUUGAAUGCCAGUCACUAAAUAUUAGAAAAUUGUACAAGAAUUUUAGUAAUACAUCUCAUACAGAAAUGCCUAGGUUUGUGAAGCAUGUAGUAUUGACCUAUAUGUAUUUUCCAAGCUUAUGAACUUUACAGCAAAGAAC